AAAAAUAAAUAAUAAUAAUAAUAAGAAUAACAAUAAUAUGGGUAAAGGUUAAGGAAAUCAACAAUAGUCAAUAAAUAACUGAUUGUCCAAGUCAAAUAACAAUGGCUUCCAAGCAUGAAGAUGUGGAACAGUACUGAUAUGUUCUUUAAAAUUCUUCAUUAGGAGUGGGAAAAAAUUUCAGACUUAAAUUGUAACCAUCUAGUAUGCAGAGUGAAAAGACACUUGUUAUACCUAAGGUUGCUUACCCAUUUGUGGUACUAUCUAAGCAAUUGACCGAUUCUCUUUUGAUGAUAAGUUAAUGGUGGAUACCAUUCUCAAAUGCCUUAUGCACUUUGCUGGCAGAGACAGCCCGCACUUGUAUUAUCACAUGUUUAUUAAAUUUGGAUUUUGGUUUGGUUAAAUGUAGGUGGUUAUGGGACUCUUGAAG
rnacentral:misc_RNA from 1 species